GACGCUGGCGGCGUGCUUAACACAUGCAAGUCGAACGAAAGGACGGGAAGAGCUUGCUCUUUCCGGAAUUGAGUGGCAAACGGGUGAGUAACACGUAAACAACCUGCCUUCAGGAUGGGGACAACAGACGGAAACGACUGCUAAUACCGAAUAAGUUCCAAGAGCCGCAUGGCCCAUGGAAGAAAAGGUGGCCUCUACCUGUAAGCUAUCGCCUGAAGAGGGGUUUGCGUCUGAUUAGCUGGUUGGAGGGGUAACGGCCCACCAAGGCGACGAUCAGUAGCCGGUCUGAGAGGAUGAACGGCCACAUUGGGACUGAGACACGGCCCAGACUCCUACGGGAGGCAGCAGUGGGGAAUCUUCCGCAAUGGGCGAAAGCCUGACGGAGCAACGCCGCGUGAGUGAUGACGGCCUUCGGGUUGUAAAGCUCUGUGAUCGGGGACGAACGGUCCGUAAGCUAAUACCUUAUGGAAGUGACGGUACCCGAAUAGCAAGCCACGGCUAACUACGUG
rnacentral:rRNA from 1 species